rnacentral:lncRNA from 1 species
UUUUUAUCAAUUUCACAAUUCUACCCCAUCUAACUUCAUUUUUUAUCAAUCACACUAUCAAAACUACUCAAAUUCGUUUCACAUAUCACCAAAAUCACAUCAUCAAGCACAUAAUCAUAACAUUAACAAAAUCCAACAAUCAUAAUCACCCCACACAUAAUCACAACAUCGAUGCCAAAUUAAAAGAAAUAAGGAGUAAGAGUUAUAGAGAUGGACCUUCCGAAUGCUCUCAAUUGAUUAAGAAGAGAAUAAAAGCGGUCCUGAAACCUAGAAGAAUACCACAAUCUCAAUCCCGAACCAGUAAUUGGACUGGUUUAAAACUGUGAUGAAAUUGAAUUUUGAUUCAAACCAAGGAAACCUUGAAGAGUCAAUGAAUACCCGAAACCAAAACUCAAAAAAAAAAUGAGAAUCCGUAUGACAAUUUCGACGAGACUUUAAUGGAGUCGGAGUAAACUGUCGACUUUUCUGACUUGUCGACUGGACUGAUGUUUUCAGGCUGGAUUUCACCAGAGAAACCAAAAAAAAUGAGAAAAGUGUCUGGGGAUUUCAAUAUUGGGACAAAUUUAAGCUCGGGAUACUUGAACUUGACUAGAAAAUACCGUUUCCGGCGACCCCUGGUGUUUUUUGGUCAGAUUCCGGUGCUAAUUUUGGUGGGAUUGCGCCGAUUUCGUUGUUUAUUUGCCAAAUCUCUCAAAAUCCUUUCAUUCUUUCGAUUCUCUCCCUCUCUCUGCUUUGCUCUCUCUCUUCGUUACUCUCUCUUUCUCUCCGUUACUCUCUUUGUGUGUGUGAGUAUAUGUGUAUGUCUUUAUUCACUGGUUGUGUUGUGUGUGUGUAAUGUAUUGUAGUAUGUGUUAGUGGGUGUGUAUUGAAUAAAUGGAGGAGUGUGUAGGUGUCCAUUAAUGGUGGAGAGAUAGUUUGUGAGUAUAUUCUUGAAAGUGUUUUCUUUUUUGAGAAAGAAGAUGAUGAGUGUUUUCAAUGAAAAUUUCCUCUUCUUUUUGGCCCUCUGUGUCUAUGUGUAUAUCCUCUCCUUUCUUUGUGAAAAGAAACGUGGGGGUGGGGGGGG